CCUACGGGAGGCAGCAGUGAGGAAUAUUGGUCAAUGGCCGGAAGGCUGAACCAGCCAAGCCGCGUGAAGGACGAAGGUGCCAAGCAUUGUAAACUUCUUUUGUCAAGGGACAAAAUCAGGCUCGAGAGCCUGACCGAGGGUACUUGAAGAAAAAGCAUCGGCAAACUCCGUUCCAGCAGCCGCGGUAAUACGGAGGAUGCGAGCGUUAUCCGGAUUUAUUGGGUUAAAAGGGUGCGUAGGCGGACUGUUAAGUCAGCGGUAAAAGCCCGGGGCUCAACCCCGGCGAGCCGUUGAAACUGGCGGUCUUGAGAUGUCGAGAGGUAUGCGGAAUGCGCAGUGUAGCGGUGAAAUGCUUAGAUAUUGCGCAGAACUCCGAUGGCGAAGGCAGCAUACCGGCGGCGAUCUGACGCUGAGGCACGAAAGCGUGGGUAUCGAACAGGAUUAGAUACCCUUGUAGUC
rnacentral:rRNA from 1 species